rnacentral:lncRNA from 1 species
CGGAAUACAUCGGUGGUGGCGGUGAUUGUGGAGUGUAAGCAGGUGGUGUAUAAAUAGGUGUUGUCGGAGAAGGUGUAGGCCCUAUACCAGGUGUUGAUGGUGGAGAAGGUGUAGGCCCUACACCGGGUAAUGAUGGUGGUGUAGAAGGUGAAGGUGUAGAAGGAGGUGUAUUAGGAUAAGAUGGUGAAGGUGUAGAGGGUGGUGUAUUUGGGGAAGGUGUAGAGGGUGGUGUAUUUGGGGAAGGUGUAGAGGGUGGUGUAUUUGGGGAAGGUGUAGAGGGUGGUGUAUUUGGGGAAGGUGUAGAGGGUGGUGUAUUUGGGGAAGGUGUAGAGGGUGGUGUAUUUGGGGAAGGUGUAGAGGGUGGUGUAUUUGGGGAAGGUGUAGAGGGUGGUGUAUUUGGGGAAGGUGUAGAGGGUGGUGUAUUAGGGGAAGGUGUCGAAGGUGGUGUAGAAGGGGAAGGUGUCGAAGGUGAAGGAACAAAUGCCGUACA